CUGGUUAACAUUCUUAAUAGAAUGAUUGCGUUUUUAUUGAAGCAAAGCGGCGAUUCCGUAUUAACAUUUUUUGACGUGACACCACAAUAAAAACCAAGUGGCAAACUCUGCUACAAGGGUUCCUAUCAUUGUCCAACAAGUGAAAUUUGGUCACUUAACAAGUUCAGUUCCUUUGCAUCGAAAGAAAACGAGUUCGGUUCCAAUUUUCUCCUAGUAUUUUGAGUUCCUAAAGCAUUUUUUUCUGGAUUAAUUUUUCUGCACCAUGAAGUACUAUGGAUGGCCGAAGUUCCUGAGAAGAUAAAAUUUUUUAUGUGGCUUGCUCUGAAGAAUUGAAAUGGUUUGUUUCACAGGCUUUUAAUCACCAAUGCCCCAGCUGGAAGUUCUUUAAAAAAGAAGAGACAGCCACAAGACAAUCGCCUCUAAUAUCUCUAUCCCUUAACUUUGACCUACUUUGCAGGCAAUUCUCUUUGUAUAUUCUCUUCUUUUGCUUAUCAAUAAAUUUAAGGGGUAUGGCCAUCAUUCUCUCUUACUUCCCUCAAGAAAAGAAGAAGAGUUGUGCAUGGUUUCAUGGCCAUGAUUAUUUAAAAUGUUGGCAGGCUUACCAAUAGACUGGCCUGGGAAGGCAUCAACUAGCUUGACGAUGUGCUCCCUGGGAACAUUGUCCGUCCUGAAUAUACCCAUGCAGAUACCAAUUCGAUCCUCUCUGGUGGGCGCCCAGUAGAACUUCUCCAUCCGGCCGUCACGAAUGAGAGGGGCAUACAGAGUGGAGAAGUCAUUUCCGGUGACGAUGAUGGGAACACGGGGAUUUUCCUGCUUGUUGUACAUUCCCGGGAGCUGCACAUUCGUCGGGUUGUCGGCGAUGUUCAUCAGGGUGGCGUUCACCAUCUGGUUGUUGACGGUGUAUUGGGUGGUGCCACCCAUCCUUCCGGCUCCGGCAUCCAGAUCGUUGAUGAAGAGGACGCACAUUUUCCCCUUUCUGAUGAUGUCUGCUGCCUCACGGUAUCUUUGCCUGAUCAAUUUUGCAGGCUCUCCGGCGUUGCCGCUCUCCAAUUCUCCGGCACUCAUCAUAACAGGGCUAUAGAUGCCGAGCACCAAAACACAAUAUAUUAGAUGAUGAUGAGCUAAUUGUGAGAGCCCGUGCAGACGUGUAUUUAGUUCCGCAUCGGUUAUUUAUUGGAUAGAUCUUAAAUUUUUAUACAGAAUCAAACAAUCCAAAUAAUACCUUUUGGUUAGCCAUUUUAGAUGAGGUUCUAGAUUAUUACAAAUAGUAUUAGAGCGAAUUCGGCUUGUAGUUUUUGUGGACUAGGGAACACUGCAGCACGGAUCCAUUGAGGCUAACCACGAGCCGAUCGUGGUGUUUGUGAUUAGAUUUGAUGAAUGGAUUUGAACCUUUAGCCUGACGAGAACAUCAGGAUUUGAACGAGAAAAGUACGUGAGGAUUCGUGUGGGUGUGUGUUUAGUCCCAUAAUAUUGAUUAUUCGCUGGAUAGCAAAUACAUAAUGUGAAUUUAUUUAUCAUAAUACAAGUUUCACAACGAUCCAAUUGAGAAGAUUUGGGCAAGCAUUUCAGGUAGGUAAAAGAUUAAUUGUCUUGCGUUCCAAUUCUCCGGCACUCAUCAUAACAGGGCAUUAAUAAAGAAAGAAAGAAAUGGGCCCAAAUGACUAAUAGGUAUAAGCAUCAUCAGAAUUUAAAAUGACCCCAGAUGUAAUUGGCAACAGCAAUCCAUUCUGAAUCAAGAAAUGAGGCUGACAAAGUCAUUAUAGAUGCAAAAAGACAGCCAAUUUUGAUCUUGGUAACACCAAUACGAGGCAGUAAUUUAACUUUCCCAAAGCUUUUGAUUCUCCAUGAGGACAGCAAGCGAAGAGGAAGAAAAACUCACUUGAUUCCCAUCUUGGCGAAUACAAGUUCACAUUGGAAGGAUUUCCCCUGGCCUUUGCCUCCCCAAAUACCCAAAAUGAGGGGAACCUGUGAGAAACCGCAACAAACAUUAAUCUCCAACCAACAGCUAUCCAGAGAGCUUGAACAGAAACGGUGGUGGAUAAGAAACCUGAUCAAAGAUGAGAAACACUUUGAGGGCAUUACCUUAAUGUUCGGCAGGUUCAUGAAAUUCUUGGUGAUGUGAACAACAAGCUUAUCCAUGAAAGCAGGAGCAAUGUAAAACCCAUCCAUGGUGUUGUCCAAGUUGUACCUAAAAGCCAUUAUAUAUGAUUGUAUAAUUGUCAAGAUCAAGCAGUUCCUGCGACAUUAACAGAGCAUAGACUUCUAGCUGAAAUACUCGAAUCUUCAAGCUUAGUUUGUUUCCUUACUGGCGGAGACCCUGGCUGAUGUACUCAUAGGAGCUCAAGACGGGGAUGUGAGUUCCAUCUCCCAUGGGAGCCUGGAAGAGGGAAUCGACCAACCCCUUCCCUCUGGUGAUAUCCUGCUGAUCAUCAGAUAUAUCAUAUGCAAGACCUGCCCACCUAUCCUUGUCGGUCUGCUUGGUCUCAUCGAGGUCGGCAGCCAUGACCUUGAAAGUACCAGUGGAGACCCUCCCAUGGCUAAAGCUAGAGUUCGCCUUCUUCAAGCUGCUCCCAAAGAAUGCCGAGCUAGGGGCCAGAUAUCCCGAGCCAGAGCCCUGCAAGCUCAACUACACCAACAAAACCAAAACCAAGGUCAACUACUCCAAGCAAACCGUAGUUUCCAUGCCAAAAACUUAACUAAUUCAGGUAAUAAACAAGCACCAUGUACGCAUAAAUUAACCAGAAAGAAAAUCUAGACAAACAACAACAACAUGAGCGAAAAAAACCCGAAAUAGAACCACAGGCUAGCCAGAUUUCCAAGGAAUAAGGGAACAGCCAGAGGGGACUAGCUGGUAUAGCAAUACCGAAGGCCCAGGACGAGCAACAUGCAACCCAAGCGGCGGUGACGUCGGAGCAAACUUAUUCUUCAAGCCUGGAAGGCCAGCCACUUCAAAUGAAAUUAAAGAAGCCAUGCACUCUCCCACCAAGUCGACCAAGAUUGAGCACACCAAGAAAAUAAUUAAGAAGCCCAAAGUCGACACAUAAGAUAUGAAAGAACAAGGAGAAGAUGGAUAUGGUGUCGAGUUACGGACCCAUGCAUUUAAAAGAAGAGAGCAAAACAAGAGGCGAUGAAACCGAUGGGAAGCCACAUAGAAGGAAGUGGAGAAAGAGGGAGGGAAAACGAGGGUACUACCGGUACUCUGGUGACAGCUCCAACGGUAGAGACAGCGGCAGCCAUCUGGAAACCGAGGAGGGAUGGAGGAGACGAAUGCGAAGCGUGUGCGCCACCGGGAUGCCAAGUUGUUGGAAACCGGAGGCUCUUAUAUAUAUGCUGUUGCGGAAUGGAGGCGCGGGUUUUGGGUCAAGCUCGUGGGUUUGCGUUGCUUCGGAUCCUAUGGAUUUGGCUUACGAAUUCCUAAUGGCCACACGCUCGCGAUUAGGACGAGUCACACGUGGCGUUCUCCCGGCCGCCAGCAGGCGUUCCGAUGAAGCGCGUCCAAAAUAGAGCGUUCCGGUAGGUGGUAGCGUCACGGAUGAUGAAGGAUUGUUUGGACUUGGAAACUCUUCUUUACCACCAACUCUUUUUUCAGGGGUUCAUCGCCAUAGAAAGUAUGGCGGGGUGCAGAGAGUUCUCGAGCAGGUUAUGGAACGUUGUAGAAGAUCGGACUCUACUGGAAUUAUUCAUUCUAUUUUUACAAAAUUUUUAUAGAAAAAAUAUUUAUUUGUUUUUUUCUCAAACGUGAUAUUAGAGCAUAGAUUUAAAAUUAUUUGGAGCUGUAAGUACCAAAGACCUGGACAUAAGAUCUAUGCAAAAAAUUUAUGUUAUAUAUGCGAGCUAAUUAUGUCCGGGAAAAAUAGUGGUUUUCUGUGUAUGUAAACUUAUGACAUGAAAUAUUCCUUUUUCUUUGAAUGACUUCAAUAAAUACUUACAAGAAACACGAGACUGCACAAAUAUUAUAAAUUGCUUCUUCCCCUAGUCAUUAUCCUCUUGCUUGCUUUUUUUUUCCAACAUUGCAGGACUCACUACAGGGGAAGUGUGAGAAGAGGGAAGGAGGAGCUGGAAGCAAUUUAUUAUCUACAUAGAGAGCUAUAGAUAAUCAAAAUUUUCAUAUAUUUGUAUGGUGCACUCAGAGUAGUUCCAAGAUCAUUAUCCGAAAAAUGUCAAAUAUAAAAUUAAAUAUUAUUAUUUAUUUAAUUUAUUCCUUUUUUUAUAGAAGAAGAAGAAGAAAGAGACUAAGCAGGUAGAAGCCUCCAUCAGCCACUAGAUUUUAUUCAUAAGGAUAUACACAAGAAAAGCACGAUAAGAUAGGAAUGCAUAUGGGAACUAAGUGAGGAGAACAAAAAAUACCAGAGUUAUAAGAGACAGGAAGGAUUGAAACAAGAUAUAGCAACUAUUACAGAGAAACCGAGAAUUCAUCAUUGGAUUAGUAGCCAUCAUUAGAAGUAAAACUAGAGCUUUCAAUAGAAACAAAUCCCAACCAAAUACGCCAGCGGUAUGCCGAAGCCAGGGCACCAAAGCCUUCAAUAAAAUCACAAAAAUUCAAUCAAGAGCAAACAACUCAGGAAUCAAAAGGCUAAUGGAUGGAGUGGAAUUCUUUAAUUUUCUUUCAACUCUGCAGAAUCCAAAAAGGUCACUGAAAUCACAGAGUAGGGACCAGUCAUCAAGUAGUAAGAUAUUUUCGCCUCUGCAAAAGAAGAUGCAUCUAUUUCAUUCAUUCCAGAAGCCUCAGGAUAAGUGGAAUAAGCAUAAAUAUAGCAGAUGAUGCAUAUCUUUUGGGAAGGAGUUCCGUACCCACCUAGAGUGGCAGAUUUGAAAAUUUCUACACCCAGUUAAUUUAUUAUUUUUCAUUUUUGCACUGUUACAAUGUGGAAUAUGUGAAAUAUAAAUUUAAGAUAAAUUUUUUAGUUAGUCUUCAAAAUAUAGAAAAUCUUUUGGCCAUGGUCACAAUAUGGUAGAUAUAAGAUGAUACAACCUCUCCAAUGAAGGAGAUAUGGAAGGGUAUGAUUUAAUACUUGAUAUUUUCUAAAAGAUCCUUGAAAAGAACACAAAAGUUCCUACAAAGUUAUGGCAUACCAAUUGCCAAUUACAUGUACAGAAUCUUCUUUACAUUUUCCUUAAUAAGCAUAAUAUGAAAACCUAUGAGAAAUUAUAUUUGGCUUUCCAAAGCUUUUGCUUUUUACAUACAUACAUACACACAUACAUAUAUGUACAUACAUACAUAUUUAUGGUGUAUUUAUAUGCAAAAAAGAAAAAAAUCCCAGAGAUAAAAAGCAAUGUAUUGUAAGAAAAUUUAUUGCUCUACAAUGAAAUCCCUUAUUGUACUUAACAGAUAUGGUUGUUCGGAAGAAUAACCAUUGCAUGAUUCCGUGUCACCUCAAGGAAAUGGAAUAUUUUCCAAACAUUCCUCUCUAACAGCCGUACGUAACAACAUACUCCUCAACAUCCAGCGACAGCUAAUUAUUUGCUUGAUAUUUUGUUUUCAUUCGCCACCUUUCAAUCUGCCCUUGCUUGCUUGCUGCAGUGGUUACCGUUGGCGCGCGUUUCCCGCGGUUUGACCUUUUCUCUUUAAAAACGGUUGCAUCCAUCUCCGAUUACCUCACGUUUCAGAGCCAUUUCCCCACAGCUCUCCUCUCCGCCUUUCAUUUCCCACUCCCAAACGCCCUGCCCUCCCCCUCUCGUAUAAAGCCAAUCCGAACUCCUCCGAGUCUUUUUUUGCAUCAAAAUAAGAAGGCAAACAAUCGUCCGUACGUUUCAGCAGACUUGUUGUCGUCAUGGAGAUCAAAAUCCCAAGAGGAGAAUCCAAUGCCAAGAAGCCCCCCACCCGGCUCCAGAAGCGCGCCCCUGCGUCCCUCCAGCUCGACCGCAGCAUCAACGCCUUCGCCUGGGAGAAGGCCUAUUCUUCUCCUACGCCAAUUCCCCUGCUGUCGCCGCUCAUUCUUUCCCCCACGCCGUUGUUCGAGGCUGAUGUGGCCCCGGUCUCGGAGGCAGAGAAGAAAGACGGCGGCGAGUGCGAGGACGAGGAGAGGACGCCGAUGCCGCCGCCCGGUGGAUGGCGUCACCCGGCUUUGCCGAUGGUGAUGGUGGAGCCCGCGUCUCUGCUUCCCAUGUUUCAGUUCCAAUGCGCUCUGGUGCGCAACGUGCAAUGACCGCAUUAUUCUGCUUCAGAUUUUUGUGUAGUUGAACUCGAUUCAUCUCCCUUGUAUUCAUGGGUGGUAUGCUGGGUAAGCAAACUCCACCGAUUCAAUGUGGCCAUCGGUUCGAUGCUAUAAAACAGAACAAAAAUAUUUUCAAAAUAAAUAGCUGUGGAAGUUUGGUGUGGACUUUCUCCUUGCGACCUGUUAAAGGAGGAUGAUAGCCAUUUUUUUUCCUUUUUUUUAUUUUAUUUUAUAUUCCCUGUGUGGAUUACAUGAAGUUGUGUUCACGUCUGCCGUUUGAUAAUUAUUAGCAGAUUGCGGAAAGAUAAAUUUACAGAACAAAUUUAUCCAAAAGAGGAGAUGAAGUUUUUUUUUUUUUCACCAUCAAUGUAGUAUCGGUAUGCUGCCGUCAGUCCUUUUGACUUAUUUAUGAACAAAAUGCUGGCCUGGUAUGGAUCCGGAGAACAAUUUGAUGAAAAUAUACAGAAAACUGAAGAUGAUUUAUAUGAAUUUUUAAAUGAAAUUUGAGAGAGGUACUAUAAUUUAGGGACAGUAUUUCGGAAGAAAAAAAAAAUCUAAAAAAUGCACAUCUGAAUGUUCACCUUGCACGGAAAGCACCAAUUCGUAAGGUGACACACCGUGUCCAAUAUAACCUUGCAUUUUCAUAAAAAUAUUCAUUAAUAAGGAAUCCAGUUUUUUGAUUACUUUUGGAAAUUCUCAUGAAGCGCUGAAUCAAUUUGUUAUGAUGAUCCUAACCAACUGCCUUCCUUCAGCAUAGUGGUAGCCUGGUAGGCACCAGGCAUCCUGGAUGCCCACGCAUAAAUAUCUAAUCCAUCAGGGUUGCAUAUUUAAACCAUACUUGUGCAGUAGUAGCAGAGGAAAGGAAUCCAUGCUCUCUGACACCAAGUCUGCAACCAGCCACCCAAUCUUGAUGCGAUUACUAGGGUGAUGCUAGUUCAGAGUGUCUCAGAAUUUAAAUAUAUAUUCUCGUUCUUAUUCAUAUGAUACAGAUCCUGCAUAGCAUAAUCAAACUUCAAACCGCAUCUGAAAUAAGCAUGGAGAAAAGCUAGUUUGACCUUUUAACAAUCCAAGCUCCCUUUGAUGAAAGAUGCAGGAUAUUCAUGAACGCAGUCACACAAGCUGCGGUGUACAAGCCUCCAUAUUCUCUUUCUUGUAAUUUUAGAACCAUCUCCCUUGUUUUUACCGCUAUAACCUCGCACAAUGAAUGAAACAACACAAAUCAAACACAUCAUGUACCAACCCUCAGCGACGAUGGUUCAAGCCUGUCAUUAUUCUGAUUGAUGUCUACCUGGAUUACAAUCAAAAAGUACAGUUUGAUGCCAGACAUUGAGACAAAUAUAAACUACACCUUCAAACCUGUGGCAUUUUGAAGGCAACAUGAAAUAGUCUUCUAGAACUCAAAAUCAUGAUGGACCCCAUUGAUGCAGCCUCAGGCUGAAAUACUUCCACUACUGAUAGAGUAACUUACCAUCAAAUCAUCCUUGAGAGACCAUAUUAUACAUAACUGGCAAAAUAAACUGAUCAAAGAGUUGCCUAGCAUCAACAAUAUAAAAUGCUCGGAACAAAUAACUGAUAUAGUUGUUCUCAUUGUUGCAGGAAAAACAAAUUUACAGUGUCCAAUUAAUUUAGCAUCUUUACAAAGAAAAUCAACAACCCUGACAGUCCGUCUGAUGAGAAAUUUUCUUUUUACAUUGUCUCCAAAGUAUCAAUUCCCAUGCUCACCACAUAACAUAGCGCCAGCAAGGAUAAUACUCAACACAAGCACCUGUUGAUCUGACGUCACUCCAACAAGAAACAGCUUGAUAACAAAAUUUAGAAGUCAAAUUCCCCAGUAGCCUGCAAUUAACAAAUAAGUUCUCAAAUAGUUUCUGGGCUCUCAGAUAAUCUCAAAUAUAUUGAUAAUAUAUCCUGUCAAAUGAUAGCAACCAAGCUUCAUGAAAUGUAGGGGGAAAAGGCAUGCCGGGAAACCAAUUUCUACAUGCAGAUUUAGAACAGAAUGAACAUCAGAAAAAGAUGUGGAAAUGUUCUCAUAAAGUACUCAGAUGAAAGCCACUCAUGAGUAAACUGGGUAAUAGAAAAACUAUUAUAAAAAAGUGACAGAAAAAGGCUAUAUCAAGCAGCACCCAAAGCCAUCAAAUGCUUGGUAUUGAAGAGUUUGAGUUUGUAUGCCAUGGAUUAGACUGUAAAACUGCAAUGUGGGUAGCCCUAAGAUUUGUUUGAUUGUCAGAUGGUGAUAUUAAUAAAUUGUUGAUUGCAAGUGUUUUAAGUUCCCUAAAUUUAUCAGAAUACUGAAACCAACAUCUGGCCUUGGAUGUCAUUGAAUAUGAACACGGUAGGCUAUUUAUUACAAGAGUGCAUAAUUUUGGAGUUCAGACUUAGCUUUGGAAAUCUCCUUUUAAACUUGCAAACAGUUUUGAAUUCUGUUUAAAUAACAAUGCUUUCAACGAACUGAAGACUUCCUGCAACAACCUGGCAUUCUCUACACUUCAUUUGCCUAACACUACUUUCCUGCAUUUGUACAUGGCACUUUCUAGCGAAAUUUUCAUGCCUUACGUGACAUGUUUCACAGACAAUGUUUCAUGGUUUUACUCUCGCUUGAUUUAAUGCUCAUAACCCUGGUUUUUUAUCACAUCAAAAGGUAAAACCAAAACAAAAUCUGUCCUGCCAUUUCAUAGCUUGUCAAAGAAAAGAAAGCCCAAAAAAACAGACCGUAAUUUCCUAGCCUGAUGAAAGAACAAGCCAGAAAAAACUGACAAGGAGGGCAACGAAAGAAGGAGAGAGAGCGAGAGAGAGAGAGAUCCAAAGAACUCCCUCCCUCCCCCCACACACCAAACUAUUUUUUUUAAAAAAAAAAGAGUGGGAGGCUAGGACUACGGCAUACCAAUUCCGAAGCAUCGGUCCUCUUCGUCACCUUCUUUGAAGCAGCCACGAUCUCCAACUAAUCUGAUGGAUACUGGUUUCCUCUCUCUCUCUCUCUCUCUGUGUGUGUGUGUGUGUGUGUGUGUGUGUGUGUGUCUUGUUUCGUUUCCCUUUCCCACCUAUGUAUUNNNNNNNNNNNNNNNNNNNNNNNNNNNNNNNNNNNNNNNNNNNNNNNNNNNNNNNNNNNNNNNNNNNNNNNNNNNNNNNNNNNNNNNNNNNNNNNNNNNNNNNNNNNNNNNNNNNNNNNNNNNNNNNNNNNNNNNNNNNNNNNNNNNNNNNNNNNNNNNNUUUCUUAUGUUAUUCAUGAGUGAUAGGAUCCUGUCAUAUAUGGAGUAUACCAUGCAUGACAAGCCCAUCUAGCAAUUGAUCGUAACUUCUACAUAUUCAAAACCAAAUCUGAACAUAUUUUUUUAUAUGUAAUAAAGUGUCUUGAAUUGUUUGGAGAUUGUUCCAUUUCCAAAACCUCAAUUUUCUAAGUACUUCCCCUUAAGGUGGUGUGUGGACAUCCAAAACAACCAACAUGCACAUACGCAAACAACAAGAAUUCCUCAUCACCGGUCCAGUGGAAACAAUUGGCAACUUGUUUAGUGGUAUAGGAGGUUAUGAUGCCAGUUUGGUUUUACUUGGAUGUAAGGACAAUUAAGCUCUACAUGUUUUUGUUUCCUUGGUGAAAAAGGGAUUAGCUGCAAAUUCUGAGGAAGUUUGAUGGUCACAAACCAGGAGCACAGGUUAGGGAUUAGCAAGCCAUAAUUAUUAAUGUCACUACCAUAUGACUGCUAGAUGCCAUGGCCUGGAGCUCCACAUCAGCUAAUGCCCAAGAGACGGCAGUUUGCUUUUUGGCUUUCUAAGUAAUGGGAUUAGGGAUAAGCACGGGAAAGUAGUCCAUAGAAAGUAUCUACUGUCAAUGCAACUAGCUUAAUUUGAGUCAUAACACACACAAAGUUGGAAAUAUACUAUAGGCACACAUAUAUAAUUCUUGUUUGGCUGAGUUUAAGAGAUAACCUUGCACUCAAAGUGAAGUUUGUUACCAAGGUUUUUAGGCCUAACUCAGCAUGACUUGGAAUGUGAUCAGAGUAAAUAAUAUUGACGUUGAAUGACAGUCAAAAAUACCAAGCAAUACACAAAAAUGUCAAUAUGGAGGAGGAUUCUCUGAUAAAUCUCCAUCGGCUGUAAUUAGGCGUAUGUUUUGCUCCAGAUAAAAGUUUGCAGACCUCUACAUUUGCAUGUUAAGCAAAUGCCAAGACAUGAUUGAGCAACUUAAAUGCCCAAAAGUAUUCAAAUUAAGAAAUUAUCCAUGAAAUUCUUUGAGCGCUAGUAUCCUACAUAUUAAACUCAUUCACGAAGAUACCUUGUGCAUAGACAAGGAUCAGUGAAUGCUGUGCCUUGUCUGCCAAAGUUUGCUUAUAGCCAACAUCGCAAACAGACCUAAGGAAUUUAGCAACCAUUAACAUAAGGCUUUCUCUAGGUCAUCAAGCGAUCUGUUUAAUUUGCAGGCUCUGAUCUCCCCUUGUUUGGCAAGUUCUGUAAGUAUCCAUAUACAAUGAAGUCACAUGGUUAUGGUAUGUUGCUCAUCCCCAACUUGCACUUCUGCUUGUGGCAAUUAAGCUACCUCUACAUUUACAGCCAAUCUGGCUUUUAACAAUCAAAGAGAACACAUAGAACUCGAUUGUCAUUUCAUCUGAGAAGAAAUUCAAGCAUCAUAACCUCUUAAGGGCCCUACCUCUCAACAAUUAUGUUUAGACCAGAAAAUGAUAAAUUACUUUUAUCAGUUCAUGCACAUGUUGGGAGUUCUUUAUAUUCAUAGGCUACCCUAAAGGGUAGUAUUGAGAAAGUCGAUUUUUUUCAGAUUGCAAUUAUCUUCAAAAAGUUUCAGAACUGCCAUUAUAUGUUCCAGACAUUUUGAGAUUUGAAUUGAAAUUUGUAUAAGAUAUGACCAAUUUAUACAUGGGUUGUGCUUAUAUGUCUUAGACUUCAUAUAUGACAAGAUCUCACUGCUCAUGAUAAUCUGAAUCUGUCUAACAUGGGGACAAUUUUGAGAUAAAAGCGAACACAAAGUGUAUAUAUGUGCUAUCUAAUAAACGAAAGAAGUGUAGAAGAAGAUCCUUUUCAUCACAAGUUUUUCUUCAAAAAAUAACUCAGACAAUAUAAAAAAAACAAACAAAAGUGGGUUGGCCAGAAUAUUAAAGAAAGGGAAGUUUUACCUACAUAGCAGAACUGAUGUUGCUAUUAUGAUCGGAACAGCAAGUAUGCCAUGAACAACCACCAUUAUAAACUUAUUUAAGAAAGGAGGUAAGGAAAGGGGGAACACGAAGUAACCUCAGUCAGCAACUUGGCAUCAAAGACUGUGAGAAGGCAAAAAAAUAUUCAAGGCAAAGAGGAGUUAGGUGUGAGCAGAACUCUUUUUUCUUUUUCUUUUCGUUUUUUUUUGGGGGGGGGGGAGGGGGGGUGGGUGGCGGGCUUGAGUUACUACCAACAUUUCCCUCAAGUAAGAGGGGCACCACCAGUCUGAGACAUGGAACCAGGUAUGUCCAAGGCACGUUCCACCAUUCCUCAUGUCAUGUUCACACGGAGGCAUGGUAAAACCCUAAAAUGUGAUCUCCAUGUGACACAACCAACAUGCAUCAACCAAAAUAAGACAACAAUAAUUAUUAAACUUGUGAAACACUUCUUAAAGGUUUUCUAGAUGUCGCUGUUAACAUUAACCAAUAUGCCCCCUUGGAACGUUCAUCAAAUAAAAGAGAUCAUAUAAUCUUCCAUUUUGGACAGAAGAGUACUAUUUGUUAUUUAAUAACAUGAUAGUGCUAUGCUUAAAUCAUGAUCUAUCAUAGAUCUACAUUGAUCCAAACUAGCUGGUAAAAAAGUUAUUGGUAAUUUAAAGCAUUGUCUUUUAGACAAGUGAUCAGUUUUAUAUAACAUUAUCUUCCAGACAAGCGUAUGAGUUUCAGAUUUUACACAUGCUAUGUUGGAUACCAGAUGAUAGUAUCAAUGCUAGAUAUCCACGUAACAAAUUUUCAACCAUAGUUCAGUGCAAUAAAAAUUUUAACAAAGGGCAUCCUAAGUUUAGCAAAAAAGAUUAGCAUGGCGACUGACAUAUGACACAUGAAAUUUAAUUCAGCUGUAGAAAUAUGGUCCAACAAACAAUUAACUAAUAGAAUGACCAAUCUACAAACAUCUGGAGGCUAAUAGUUCUCGCUAACCACAAUGACAUUAUUUUUUAGACAAGAGCAUGAGUUUUAGACUUUACAAGUACUAUGUCAGAACCAGAUAAUUGCAUCAAUGCUAGAUAUCCAUGCUAGAUAUCCAGGUACAAAGUUUUAAACAUAGUUCAGUGCACUAAAAUGCUAGCACAAAGCAGCUUAAAUUUAAGGGGGGAAAGAGAGAGAAGUCAGCUUUGCAAUGGCAUAUGACACAUGAAAUUUAAUUCAGCUGUAGAAAGAUAGCCUAGGCAACAAUCAACUAAUAAAAUGACCAUCUACAAAACUCUAGAAGUUAAUAGUUAUUGCUAUCGGCAAUAAUAUAUCUCAGUAAAAGACAUUUAAAAUUUAAGGAAUGUAUCAAAAUGAAUUUACUGCCUCUCCAAAAGGGACAGGAGAAAACAUCUGCAAGCAAUCUUGAAAAGUUUACCAACUGAAAAUUUAAUAAAAUGCAUGGACAAACUACUAUGGAUAUAUGUUACAGGAUUAUACCCCUAAAAAAGCUAAAACAAUCUUCUUGAGAGAUUGUAGCUGACGGAAAAAAUUAUGACUAGUAAACUGUAGUAUUUUGAAAGCACAUACCUUAUUGAAAAGAAUAUCCCUAUUGUUGAGAUGCAUUAUGCCAUCCUUGAGUGUGCACUUCCAUCUACUUUUUGUCCGCGUCACCUACUCAGAAAAAAUUAAAGGGAAUCAUGAAGACAGCAAAUACCUUGUCUCAACAUGCCUUUCCUAUGAGAAAAGGAAUAGAAAUUACCUUGUCAAACUGAGCUAAAACUAAAUGUUGUGUGCUCGGCUCUUCUUCUCCAUGCUCAAGGUCAUCUAAAUCUUCUUCAUCAUCAUCAUCUUCAUUAAGAGGUGGCUCAUCAUCCUCUGCUGCUUCAUUUUUAGCUGGUUUUGGUGUGCCAACGGCAGGGGUAGCAGCUCGCAGUUCAACUAAAGAAAUCAGAUAAAAACAUAAAGGUCAGCCUGUAAUAGAAUUCUCCAAAGCAUAUUCUUGUCUCAAAAUAUUUCAUGCUUAACAUGUAAUUCAGCAUUUUACUAAAAAGGUACCUUGUUCUGCUGGAGUAUUGUAGUCUUCAGUGGCAACUCCUUGGAAAUGAAACAACUUCAACAAAAAUAACACUAAUGUCAAUGCCAACACAAUAAAAAUAGUAAAUUUUAGAAUUAACCAAAUGUUCAGUAAAUACAUCAUCAUAUUCAUCAUGGACCCCAUCCUGCUGAGGAAGCACUGGAGCUGUUUUUGUUUCUUUCUUAGAUAGAAUCUUAGUUGCAGUAUCUCGAGCACAUGCCGUCAUUGAUUUUUCCAACUCCUGCCUGAUUCUAAAGAAUGAACAAUCAUGAUCAUAGGCACACAUGAUAAGAGCUAAAAUAUUACAUUUAACAAUAGAAAAAUUUUACUUCCUUUUCCUUUCAACAAAGAAAAGAAAAGAAAAGAAAAGAAAAGAAAUAUUGUAUUCCCAACUGAAACCAUGAGAGCAUCCAAAUUUUAAAACUAGCAUUUGUUUUGCUUGUGAUAGUGGACAGUGCCCUCCGAGUCUAUAAACACAAUAUUAAAUUUAUUGGACAAAAUCAUAAAGGUUUUGCACAUAUUCAUUGGUUCACAUUUUCUAGUAGAUGGGCAUGUUUUGUAUCUCAAAUAUUUUUAAUUUAGCAUUGGCACAAUAAUCUUGCUGAAAAAUAUAAAAUAAACCCUCUCAAAACGUUAAACCAAAGUGAAGUCAGCCUAACAGUUUACUAGAUGGGUGGACAUUAGAUGUUGCACCUUUGAAAGUUGGCAUUGGCAUGAUAUUCUUGCUUAUGGAAUAGAAUGAACUUCUAACUCAUUCACUUCUUUUAUCAAUAGCCUCUCAUAUCUAAUUGUAAUUAGGAGAAGGAAAAAGAUCACAAGUAAGAAAUUACUAUAUAUCCAACUCAAUCUGAAGCAUAUCUGAUUGUAAUUAGGAGAGAAAAAAGAUCAUGAGUCAGAGAUUACCAUAUAUACAACUCUGCAUGAAGCAUAUGAGAGGGGAUACCAAUUAAUGACUUCAUUAUUAGGCCAGGUGCCCAGCAAUAUCUCUUUUAUGGCACUACCAAUGUUUUAUAAAAAUUGAUCAAACAGAAUGAAUAGAAAUAUAAAAAAUGCAGCAUACAUCCUCCAGUCAGAACCUUGUCUUGAGAACAUAAUUAUGAUCCGCACAGUAGAAUGUAAUUUACUAAAAUCUGAAUUUUGAAAUAUAAAAGUCAAAAUUAGAAUCCUGUUUUUGUAGACUAUUAAUCAUUCAUAACAAGGAAAUGAAAACCCAAAAAAAAAAAAUUUGUACUCUUAAAUCAGUAAGUUUGAAGGCAAUGUCAAUUAAAUAACCUAUUACUGUCAACUGAGACUUGGGUGGAGAAGACAUGAUAGUUUAUCUUAUAACAAAAAAUGCUAAAUCCAUUAUGAAGGAAAAAAAAUUAAGCAACAAGAACGAGAAGCUCAAAAGGAGAAUUUUGUAAAGCUAUGGAAGAGACGAAACUAGAUGAAAAGACAAUCACAUUAAAAAAGAGAACAGCGGCACAAAGUUUGAAAGAUCAAUGAAGAAAUUAGGGUUGGUCAUCAAUGUCAGAUAUCUUAAAAUAGCAUUCAAUGAAGGACAAGAGACACCCAUGGUUGAUCCAUCUUAUGAUGAAGUUGUUCUUAAUGGCCUCAAGAUAUGCAUCAAGAACCACGGAAAUAAAGUAGUUUAUAAGAUGUCUUCUCCAAUCAAGUCUGCUUUACCUAAGAAGAUCCCUGCUUUUGAAGAUUACCAUAUAUGCAUGUGUCGCAGGCAUCACAAAACCUUGCUUGUCUUUUGGUAUUAGUAACAAGCGCAGCAAGUCAACUUGAAAACUUUACCAUAUAUUAUAUGGAGAUGCAUCACUAUGCUUGCCAAACAGAACAUGAAAAGACAUUGUACAAAAGGAGAGUUUGCAAGGACAUUAGAUGAAAUCCUUUUGUAGGAAUAGUUAGCAGGAAGGAUUCCAAACCCAACACUGAAUACAUAUCAAAACGCUUGAUAGUUACAAUGAUACUUUAUAAUGCAAUAAUUCAAGAAUAAUAUAUGCAAGUUAGUGGAAAAAAAUUGAGCAGUGCCUCAAAGACAAACAUGCAGUGUAGAUAUGCGAGUUAGCACCAUCCAUUAAGAAUGUCAUUGGUCCUUGACACACCAAUACAGUUCCAAUAAGCACAUCCAAUGGCAGAUAACUUUAUAGAAAAACUUUAUUAUGAAGGGCAAACAACACAGAGCAUAAACAAUCAGUGCCUUAUUCCAACUGAAAUAAUCUUUAUGAUGCAUUUGGCGCAAGCUUUGGACCUUUUGUUUUUUAUCAUGUGGUCAAGGCAAAUUGUGUUUAGGUAUGUAGCUUUCUCCAAAGAGAAGAGAGAGAGGCAGGCAAAGAUGGAGUGGGUAGGAGAGAAGAAGAAAAAUAGUGUGAAUUAAUAUUAAGAAAAUUAUAAAAUGUCAGAAAUGAAAGUAGGCAUGAGUAGGGAUUCAAGUACAUGUAGUCAUGUACAUUUAUCUAAAAGGGGGAGUGCAUUUGUCAACUUAGACACAUCUAUGAUAUAAAUUUUUAUGAGUGUUCCUAUAUUUUAGGUUGUUGUGUUUGGAUCUUGUGAAACGUGAGACUCAAUCUGCUAAUUUUUUGCAGUCUUUUUUUUUAUGAAUUUGAGUCCAACAUGAUGGCAUAACAAAUCCAAUUUUCUGGUCCAGCCCAAAAUAUGGUUGUAUGUGGAUCAGGUUAUCAGUCCCCAGUGCCACCAAAAUGUUACAGGCAUUUAGCAAUGAUACAACAAUGAUGAAAACAACAAAGAUCAAGCUACAGAUUAUGGCUAUCAAAAAAAUGUUUGAUCAAAGAUGGGGAUGAAAAAAUUUAGUGCAAGGGCACAAACAUGAUUGUUGAGCUAAAAAAGAACUGGAAUAAAAAUAUCUAAAAGAAACAUUUGUUGCUAUGGAGUUGUAGGCCUGACCCCAAUGAUUAUGCAACUACAAUGUUCUGGUAGAAAAACAUAACUAGGCUAAACAUUACUAAAGUUAAUAAAUUAAUGAUGAAACUCUAGAUAACUCUCAACACAUAAUGUUGUUGGGUUUCAAUAUAUUCCUUUUUGCAUUUAAUUUAUCAUUAGAUCAUUCUAGUUGGCCCCAUAAAGGACAUGCUUUAAAGGGGCACUUCAUAAAUUUAGGAUGUCUGACAUCCACAUGGCAAUUAUGAAGCAUCUAUACUUACAAAUCCAAAAUGUAUGUAAUAGAUGUCAUAGCUUUUAUCAAUUAUGAUAUGACGACUGAUAACAGUGCUCUCAUGAACUUCGAUAUGCAAUAUUUUAAAAAAAAUCAGUAGAAAAGUCAGUAACGGGACUCAAGGAAUUAGUGGGCAAAUAAUUAUAGACCAAAUUGGUAAGUCAAAGCAUGUUAUUUGCUGUUGUGGGUGCAAAUGAUAAUUAUCCAUAUCAUGUAGUGUUUACAGCCAACCA
rnacentral:lncRNA from 1 species